rnacentral:rRNA from 1 species
AGAGUUUGAUCAUGGCUCAGGAUGAACGCUAGCUACAGGCUUAACACAUGCAAGUCGAGGGGAAACGACAUCGAAAGCUUGCUUUUGAUGGGCGUCGACCGGCGCACGGGUGAGUAACGCGUAUCCAACCUGCCCACCACUUGGGGAUAACCUUGCGAAAGUAAGACUAAUACCCAAUGACGUCUCUAGAAGACAUCUGAAGGAGAUUAAAGAUUUAUCGGUGAUGGAUGGGGAUGCGUCUGAUUAGCUUGUUGGCGGGGUAACGGCCACCAAGGCGACGAUCAGUAGGGGUCUGAGAGGAACGGUCCCCANAUUGGAACUGAGACACGGUCCAAACUCCUACGGGAGCA